UUUGAACGCAAGUUGCGCCCGAAGCCAUCAGGCCGAGGGCACGUCUGCCUGGGCGUCACGCAUCGCGUCGCCCCCCCAUCCCCGCGCACCGCGCUCGGCUUGGGGGGGCGGAUACUGGCCUCCCGUGCGCCCCGCCGCGCGGCCGGCCCAAAUGCGAUCCCCCGGCGACCCGCGUCGCGGCAAGUGGUGGUUGAACUCCUCAAUUUCCCCGUCGCGCCCCGGGUCGUCCGCGCGGAUUCCUUUAGAAACCCAAGUACCUCGACCGCGACCCCAGGUCAGGCGGGAUCACCCGCUGAGUUUAAGCAUAUCAAUAAGCGGAGGAAGAGAAACUUACAAGGAUUCCCCUAGUAACGGCGAGCGAACCGGGAAUAGCCCAA
rnacentral:rRNA from 1 species